rnacentral:rRNA from 1 species
UGCAGUCGAGCGCCCUUUUCGGAGGGAGCGGCAGACGGGUGAGUAACGCGUGGGAAUCUACCUUUUGCUGCGGAAUAGCUCAGGGAAACUUGUGCUAAUACCGUAUGUGUCCUUCGGGAGAAAGAUUUAUCGGCGAGAGAUGAGCCCGCGUUGGAUUACCUAGGUGGUGGGGUAAAGGCCUACCAAGGCGACUAUCCAUAGCUGGUCUGAGAGGAUGAUCAGCCACUCUGGGACUGAGACACGGCCCAGACUCCUACGGGAGGCAGCGAUGGGGAAUAUUGAACCAUGGGCGCAAGCCUGAUCCAGCCUUGCCGCGUGAGUGAUGACGGUCUUAGGAUUGUAAAGCUCUUUCACCGGUGAAGAUUAUGACGGUAACCGGAGAAGAAGCCCCGGCUAACUUCGUGCCAGCAGCCGCGGUAAUACGGAGGGGGCUAGCGUUGUUCGGAUUUACUGGGCGUAAAGCGCACGUAGGCGGGCUUUUAAGUCAGGGGUGAAAUCCCAGAGCUCAACUCUGGAACUGCCUUUGAUACUGGAAGUCUUGAGUAUGGUAGAGGUGAGUGGAAUUCCGAGUGUAGAGGUGAAAUUCGUAGAUGUUCGGAGGAACACCAGUGGCGAAGGCGUCUCACUGUACCAUUACUGACGCUGAAGUGCUAAAGCGUGAGGAGCAGACAAGAUUAGAUCCCCUGACUAGUCCACGACGUAACGAUGAAUGUUAGGCGGUCGGGGUGUUUACACUUCGGCUGGCGCAGCUACGCAUAAACAUGCGACUGGGGAGUACGG